GGAGAGAUGUCCGAGUGGCCGAAGGAGCACGCCUGGAAAGCGUGUAUAGGGUGAAAGCUCUGUCAGGGGUUCAAAUCCCCUUCUCUCCGCCA
rnacentral:tRNA from 1 species